GCCAAGACUAGAGUCAUAUCCUGACACAACUCUUUUCCUGGUGUACUAGAGUACGUACUCGGAGAGAAUCUACUGGUCUUGAUUCACUGGCAGGAGCAGUCGGUGCUCCCAUUAGUACCCAGAAAUAAAAUAA
rnacentral:snoRNA from 1 species